rnacentral:rRNA from 1 species
UACGUAGGUGGCACGCGUUGUCCGGAUUUACUGGGCGUAAAGAGCGCGCAGGCGGUCGUGCAAGUCGCGUGUGAAAGCCCCCGGCUCAACUGGGGAGGGUCACGCGAUACUGCUCGACUCGAAGGCAGGAGAGGGAAGUGGAAUUCCCGGUGUAGUGGUGAAAUGCGUAGAUAUCGGGAGGAACACCAGUGGCGAAGGCGACUUCCUGGCCUGUUCUUGACGCUGAGGCGCGAAAGCUAGGGUAGCAAACGGG